rnacentral:rRNA from 1 species
UGAACGCUGGCGGCGUGCCUAAUACAUGCAAGUCGAGCGAACGGACGAGAAGCUUGCUUUUCUGAUGUUAGCGGCGGACGGGUGAGUAACACGUGGAUAACCUACCUAUAAGACUGGGAUAACUUCGGGAAACCGGAGCUAAUACCGGAUAAUAUUUUGAACCGCAUGGUUCAAAAGUGAAAGACGGUCUUGCUGUCACUUAUAGAUGGAUCCGCGCUGCAUUAGCUAGUUGGUAAGGUAACGGCUUACCAAGGCAACGAUGCAUAGCCGACCUGAGAGGGUGAUCGGCCACACUGGAACUGAGACACGGUCCAGACUCCUACGGGAGGCAGCAGUAGGGAAUCUUCCGCAAUGGGCGAAAGCCUGACGGAGCAACGCCGCGUGAGUGAUGAAGGUCUUCGGAUCGUAAAACUCUGUUAUUAGGGAAGAACAUAUGUGUAAGUAACUGUGCACAUCUUGACGGUACCUAAUCAGAAAGCCACGGCUAACUACGUGCCAGUAGCCGCGGUAAUACGUAGGUGGCAAGCGUUAUCCGGAAUUAUUGGGCGUAAAGCGCGCGUAGGCGGUUUUUUAAGUCUGAUGUGAAAGCCCACGGCUCAACCGUGGAGGGUCAUUGGAAACUGGAAAACUUGAGUGCAGAAGAGGAAAGUGGAAUUCCAUGUGUAGCGGUGAAAUGCGCAGAGAUAUGGAGGAACACCAGUGGCGAAGGCGACUUUCUGGUCUGUAACUGACGCUGAUGUGCGAAAGCGUGGGGAUCAAACAGGAUUAGAUACCCUGGUAGUCCACGCCGUAAACGAUGAGUGCUAAGUGUUAGGGGGUUUCCGCCCCUUAGUGCUGCAGCUAACGCAUUAAGCACUCCGCCUGGGGAGUACGACCGCAAGGUUGAAACUCAAAGGAAUUGACGGGGACCCGCACAAGCGGUGGAGCAUGUGGUUUAAUUCGAAGCAACGCGAAGAACCUUACCAAAUCUUGACAUCCUUUGACAACUCUAGAGAUAGAGCCUUCCCCUUCGGGGGACAAAGUGACAGGUGGUGCAUGGUUGUCGUCAGCUCGUGUCGUGAGAUGUUGGGUUAAGUCCCGCAACGAGCGCAACCCUUAAGCUUAGUUGCCAUCAUUAAGUUGGGCACUCUAAGUUGACUGCCGGUGACAAACCGGAGGAAGGUGGGGAUGACGUCAAAUCAUCAUGCCCCUUAUGAUUUGGGCUACACACGUGCUACAAUGGACAAUACAAAGGGCAGCGAAACCGCGAGGUCAAGCAAAUCCCAUAAAGUUGUUCUCAGUUCGGAUUGUAGUCUGCAACUCGACUACAUGAAGCUGGAAUCGCUAGUAAUCGUAGAUCAGCAUGCUACGGUGAAUACGUUCCCGGGUCU